rnacentral:rRNA from 1 species
UACGAAGGGGGCUAGCGUUGUUCGGAAUUACUGGGCGUAAAGCGCGCGCAGGCGGUUUCUCAAGUCAGUGGUGAAAGCCCGGAGCUCAACUCCGGAACUGCCAUUGAAACUGUGAGACUUGAGGACGAGAGAGGUGAGUGGAAUUCCCAGUGUAGAGGUGAAAUUCGUAGAUAUUGGGAAGAACACCGGUGGCGAAGGCGGCCAUCUGGACCGUUUCUGACGCUGAGGCGCGAAAGCGUGGGGAGCGAUCCGG